rnacentral:rRNA from 1 species
GAUGAACGCUGGCGGCGUGCCUAAUACAUGCAAGUCGAACGAAACUUCUUUAUCACCGAGUGCUUGCACUCACCGAUAAAGAGUUGAGUGGCGAACGGGUGAGUAACACGUGGGCAACCUGCCCAAAAGAGGGGGAUAACGCUUGGAAACAGGUGCUAAUACCGCAUAACCAUAGUUACCGCAUGGUAACUAUGUAAAAGGUGGCUAUACUACCGCUUUUGGAUGGGCCCGCGGCGCAUUAGCUAGUUGGUAGGGUAAAGGCUUACCAAGGCAAUGACGCGUAGCCGAAUUGAGAGGUUGAUCGGCCACAUUGGGACUGAGACACGGCCCAAACUCCUACGGGAGGCAGCAGUAGGGAAUCUUCCACAAUGGGCGAAAGCCUGAUGGAGCAACGCCGCGUGGGUGAAGAAGGUCUUCGGAUCGUAAAACCCUGUUGUUAGAGAAGAAAGUGCGUGAGAGUAACUGUUCACGUUUCGACGGUAUCUAACCAGAAAGCCACUGCUAACUACGUG